GUCUCUUUGUAGUUUAUAAAUGGAGAGUCGGGCCUGCUCGGUGAAUAAAAUUGUUUUAACAGCUGCGGUAUUUUAACUGUACUAAGGUAGCAUAAUAAUUUGCCUUAUAAUUUGAGGCUAGAAUGAAUGGUUUGACGAAGGUUAAUCUGUCUCUAUUUUAUUUAUUAGAAUUUAAUUUUUAGAGUGAAAAAGCUUGGAUUUUUUAAAGGGACGAGAAGACCCUACUGAGCUUAUAAUUUUAUUAUUAUUUUGUUUUGAUGUGUAAAGUAAUAUAUAAAUUUUAAUUGGGGUGAUUAAGGAAUAAAGUGUGUAAGAUAAGUAACUUCCUUAGUUUAAAUAUUGUUAAAUAAAGUAACCAAUAAUAUUGCUUAUAAUAUAGUUACCAUAGGGAUAACAGCGUAAUUUAUUUAGAGAGUUCUUAUUGAAAAAUGAGAUUGCGACCUCGAUGUUGGAUUAAAGUAACCUUAAGGUGCAGAAGCUUUAAAAGGUAAAUCUGUUCGAUUUUUAAAACUUUACA
rnacentral:rRNA from 1 species